UACAGGGGGUGCAAACGUUGCUCGGAAUUAUUGGGCGUAAAGCGCGCGUAGGCGGCCACUUAAGUCGGAUGUGAAAGCCCCUGGCUCAACUGGGGAAGUGCACCCGAAACUGAAUGGCUUGAGUGCGAAAGAGGGUCGCGGAAUUCCCGGUGUAGCGGUGAAAUGCGCAGAUAUCAGGAAGAACACCCGUGGCGAAGGCGGUUCUCUGGGACGGUACUGACGCUGAGACGCGAAAGCGUGGGGAGCGAACAGG
rnacentral:rRNA from 1 species